CACAAACGAGAAUGCAUGCGGCAUCGCUAUCCACACUGCGCUGUGUAGACUAGCAGUGUACGAUGGCUUUGUGGACGCGGUUUCUUAACAGACCUUGAGGAUGGCUUCGGAUUUCUGCGUACACGUAUUGAAAUGAGCUUUUCCCAGCAUCGGCCUGCUGAAGCGAUCCACUAUUCCAGGAGCGCUGCAUCUGCAGACGUAUUGCCUGCAGCUUCCUGUAGACCAGACCGUACUCGUCAGAGUACCGAUGACACUUACGCAAAGUGGAUUCGUGUCCUUUGCGAGCUCUCUCAUGAUUCUCUCUGCAGAGCGUUUCUCAUCUCGUCGCGACGCAAGUUUGCAGAACAU